GUGAUGAAGGUCUUCGGAUCGUAAAACUCUGUUGUUAGGGAAGAAUAAGUAUCGACCGAAUAAGUCGGUGCCUUGACGGUACCUAACCAGAAAGCCCCGGCUAACUACGUGCCAGCAGCCGCGGUAAUACGUAGGGGGCAAGCGUUGUCCGGAAUUAUUGGGCGUAAAGGGCGCGCAGGCGGUCUUUUAAGUCUGAUGUGAAAUCUCGUAGCUUAACUACGAGCGGUCAUUGGAAACUGGAAGACUUGAGGACAGAAGAGGAGAGUGGAAUUCCACGUGUAGCGGUGAAAUGCGUAGAGAUGUGGAGGAACACCAGUGGCGAAGGCGACUCUCUGGUCUGUAACUGACGCUGAGGCGCGAAAGCGUGGGGAGCGAACAGGAUUAGAUACCCUGGUAGUCCACGCCGUAAACGAUGAGUGCUAGGUGUUAGGGGGUUUAACUCCUCGGUGGCGCAGCUAACGCAAUAAGUACCCCGCCUGGGGAGUACGGCCGCAAGGUUAAAACUCAAAGGAAUUGACGGGGGCCCGCACAAGCGGUGGAGCAUGUGGUUUAAUUCNGAUGCACGCGAAGAACCUUACCUGCCCUUGACAUG
rnacentral:rRNA from 1 species